AUUGAACGCUGGCGGCAGGCCUAACACAUGCAAGUCGAACGGCUGAAGCGGACUUGCUUCUGCUUUCAGAGGGGGACGGGUGUGUGAUGCCUGGGAACAUGCCUGGCCGUGGUGUAGAACGUGCGGAGGCAGGGGCUAAUACUGCAUAAGACCAGAGGCAGAAGGAGGGUGAGCAGCGGAACUUAAGCUCUUACAUGAGUGAAGGUCGGACUAGCUAGUUGGUGGGGUAAGGGACUACCAAGGCGACGAUCCGUAACUGGUCUGAGAGGAUGAUCAGCCACACUGGAACUGAGACACGGUCCAGAGUCCUACGGGAGGCAGCAGUGGGGAAUGUUGGACAAUGGUCGAAAGCCUUAUCCAGCCAUGCCGCGUGUGUGAAGAAGGCCUUCGGAUUGUAAAGCCCGUUUUCUGGGUAGGAACCGCAGUAAGUUAAUACCAAGCUGUUUUGACGGUACCAACAGAAUAAGCACCGGCUAACUUCGUG
rnacentral:rRNA from 1 species